GAAGCAGAGGUAGCUGGAUCUCCUUGAGAUUGAGGCCAGCCUGGUCUACAGGUUCUAGGUCAGUCAGAGGCACACUGUGUGAUCCAGUCUCACCCAAAACCAAAACCAAAAUAACAACAACAAAAAAGCUACAACAACAAGUAUCCUACACCAAAGAGGUUCCCGUAUUGACUGUGAGGAAUCUGGUCACACAAGCUGCCCUCUUUCUCCAAGCUCAAGCUGGCAUCAAAAGAUCAACAGGCUUAGGAUGUGCAUGUGACAGGGAAGUUUGUUGCUGCCUUGCUGGUGGGUUGGGGCUGCUCUUUGGUGCAGAACACAGAGAAGAGCCUUUCUGUGAACAACCCCUGAGUGACAUAAGCCAUGACCGAAGGUCCUCUGCACUGCUACCAGGAGACUAUCUUUGAUACCACAAAUGUGGCUUGGCCAAUGGGAAGAGUCUGCAAUCACCUAUUGUUUACAAUGAGGUUGGCAGUAAGCACAGACCGUCACACAGUUACUGUCUGUUCGUAGUUACCAAGAGCUAAAACUCCUCCAAGCUAUCACGUUUACAGUGACAGAGGGCAGAGGAAUCUUUUGAAAACUAGAGGCCCUAACAUGAUCUGCCAGAGCUUGUCUGUGGCUGUUUCUGAUCUGGGACUUUAUCUCCAUGGGACAAAUGAAGAGCCUACAGCACAAACUCCAAGGGCAUCUGAGUAUCCCAACCUGGCAUCUUUCUCCAAGCUUGACUGCUCCAGAAGACAAGCAUGGUCCACAAAACACAGGUGGAAGGACACGAGUUACGCCUGAGCCCGGCCUGACACCCAAGGCUGUCAAGGAGGAUCUAUGUUCCAGAGAUAAGAUGCAGAGUGCCCGCUGCCUAGCGCCUGACUUCAGUCCCCAUGUCAGCAGAUGCCUGCUUCUUUGUUCUUUGUAAAAUUCCCCCUCGACCCUCCCUAUUCCCCGUGAUGUAUGCUUUAAAACAAGGCACCUCAGCAUAAUAAACGGAGACAUUGACAAA